AGCGAACGCUGGCGGCAGGCUUAACACAUGCCAGUCGAGCGGGCAUCCUUGUGGUGUCAGCGGCAGACGGGUGAGUAACGCGUGGGAAUGUGCCCUUCGGUUCGGAAUAACUCAGGGAAACUUGAGCUAAUACCGGAUACGUGCGAGAGCAGAAAGGUUUAUCUGCCGAAGGAUCGGCCCGCGUCUGAUUAGCUAGUUGGUGAGGUUACGGCUCACCAAGGCGACGAUCAGUAGCUGGUCUGAGAGGAUGAUCAGCCACACUGGGACUGAGACACGGCCCAGACUCCUACGGGAGGCAGCAGUGGGGAAUAUUGGACAAUGGGGGCAACCCUGAUCCAGCCAUGCCGCGUGAGUGAUGACGGCCUUAGGGUUGUAAAGCUCUUUUCUCCGGGACGAUAAUGACGGUACCGGAGGAAUAAGCCCCGGCUAACUUCGUG
rnacentral:rRNA from 1 species